rnacentral:misc_RNA from 1 species
GUCUAGAUAUAAAACAUCAAACGAAGAAUCGAGUCACGGAUAAAUGAGAGACACGUUAG